rnacentral:rRNA from 1 species
UGCAGUCGACGAUGAAGCCCAGCUUGCUGGGUGGAUUAGUGGCGAACGGGUGAGUAACACGUGAGUAACCUGCCCUUGACUCUGGGAUAAGCGUUGGAAACGACGUCUAAUACCGGAUACGAGCUUCCACCGCAUGGUGAGUUGCUGGAAAGAAUUUUGGUCAAGGAUGGACUCGCGGCCUAUCAGCUUGUUGGUGAGGUAAUGGCUCACCAAGGCGACGACGGGUAGCCGGCCUGAGAGGGUGACCGGCCACACUGGGACUGAGACACGGCCCAGACUCCUACGGGAGGCAGCAGUGGGGAAUAUUGCACAAUGGGCGAAAGCCUGAUGCAGCAACGCCGCGUGAGGGACGACGGCCUUCGGGUUGUAAACCUCUUUUAGCAGGGAAGAAGCGAAAGUGACGGUACCUGCAGAAAAAGCACCGGCUAACUACGUGCCAGCAGCCGCGGUAAUACGUAGGGUGCAAGCGUUGUCCGGAAUUAUUGGGCGUAAAGAGCUCGUAGGCGGUUUGUCGCGUCUGCUGUGAAAUCCCGAGGCUCAACCUCGGGUCUGCAGUGGGUACGGGCAGACUAGAGUGCGGUAGGGGAGAUUGGAAUUCCUGGUGUAGCGGUGGAAUGCGCAGAUAUCAGGAGGAACACCGAUGGCGAAGGCAGAUCUCUGGGCCGCUACUGACGCUGAGGAGCGAAAGGGUGGGGAGCAAACAGGCUUAGAUACCCUGGUAGUCCACCCCGUAAACGUUGGGCGCUAGAUGUGGGGACCAUUCCACGGUUUCCGUGUCGUAGCUAACGCAUUAAGCGCCCCGCCUGGGGAGUACGGCCGCAAGGCUAAAACUCAAAGGAAUUGACGGGGGCCCGCACAAGCGGCGGAGCAUGCGGAUUAAUUCGAUGCAACGCGAAGAACCUUACCAAGGCUUGACAUAUACGAGAACGGGCCAGAAAUGGUCAACUCUUUGGACACUCGUAAACAGGUGGUGCAUGGUUGUCGUCAGCUCGUGUCGUGAGAUGUUGGGUUAAGUCCCGCAACGAGCGCAACCCUCGUUCUAUGUUGCCAGCACGUAAUGGUGGGAACUCAUGGGAUACUGCCGGGGUCAACUCGGAGGAAGGUGGGGACGACGUCAAAUCAUCAUGCCCCUUAUGUCUUGGGCUUCACGCAUGCUACAAUGGCCAGUACAAAGGGCUGCAAUACCGUAAGGUGGAGCGAAUCCCAAAAAGCUGGUCCCAGUUCGGAUUGAGGUCUGCAACUCGACCUCAUGAAGUCGGAGUCGCUAGUAAUCGCAGAUCAGCAACGCUGCGGUGAAUACGUUCCCGGGCCUUGUACACACCGCCCGUCAAGUCAUGAAAGUCGGUAACACCCGAAGCCAGUGGCCUAACCGCAAGGA